UGGAGGGGAGCCCAGAUGAGGAGGAUGAGGAGUGGAGUUUACCUGGGUUUUCAGUUUUGCCAACUGUGAAGGUCAGUGUUGAGGGUACAAUCCCUACCCAGCCCAUGAACAGAGUUCCUGUUCCUGAGACAGAAAGAAAGAAUCCCUCACUUGAUGUGGAUAAGUCGUCUCUACUGGCGGAUGCUGUGGAUCCAUAUCCAGCCCUGGAAAAAGUUCCUUCAGAAGAAGAUCAAAUAGACCCAGGAAUUUCACCUGAGCCUGAACAUGUUCCUGAGCUGAGCCCAUCUGAAGAUUUGGAAUCCCAUGGCCUGGUAGAGACAUUACCAACCUUGACCAUAUCCUCACCACAUUCCACUGAAGCACCUAUACCUGCUUCACAGGCUAGUGAUAGUAUAGAAACUGAACAGCCGAUUCGUCGGUCUAGUCGACAGCCACAGCCAAUUAAGCGUCUUCAGUAUGCUGCUUUAGGCAACCCAUUAAUCUCUGUAGUGCAAACUCUUUUGCAUAGCUUAGCUACUGCUUAUAGUGAAAUGUGGGUGGAGCCUGUCCCGGAUGCUCCUGUAUGUUCUAGUGUCCAGAUAAUUUAGCAUGCACCGGCGUUGCAUGUAUUUAAGGGGGGAGGGUGUAACCCAGGUCUAAAUCUCAGUGAUCAAGCCUGUGUAAAAUAGAACUUCCAUCCCCUCACUACUUCAUAGCCAAUCACUGUCAAGUAUCAUGGUCACAUGUACUUCCACAGCCUAUCAGCUAGGUAUAUUAGCUGGAGUAAGGAAGUAGGAAGGUUAGGACAUGUUGGGAGAAGCAGAGCUGCAGGAGCUAACUACUUUGCCAGGAUGAGAUGGGGAGAAAAACCUGUUGUGUGAGGCAUAAACUGUGGAAUUGGCCAGGUUUGAUGGCGAGCUGAAGAUCCAGGCCUAGAGCCCAAGAAAGAUUUGCACUUUGGCGUGCGUGCGUGAAGACUUGUUGAUCUCCUGCCAGGCUGGUAGGAGGCUCCUUGCAGCCAACGAACAAUUCUGUUCUACCCUGAUCUGACUUGCGUCAGUUAGGACCUGCACUGCACCAAGCACUUUAAAAGAACUUGCUUGGGACCUUUAACCAACCCCAGCUUGGGGUGAAUGAACUGAAGGGUGUGGGUUCAUUAAUUGUAGAAUUGAUUAAUGUUUUUUUCUGUUUAUUUAGUUUUUUUCUUUUGCGCAUUUUAUAUGGCCAUUUGAAUGUUUCACUGUUGUAAAUAUGUAUAUAACUUUCUACACUAUAAAUACAAAGGCACUCGCAACUGCAACCUUCCAGUCUGUCUGCUCCUUCAUGAGUCGAAUCUAGUUUCUGA